CUUGAGCGAGCCCAGCCACAGCGGCCGGCCUUCGGGCCGCUCCUGGCCGUAGGUGGCCAGCAGCGCCUGCGCCUC
rnacentral:antisense_RNA from 1 species